rnacentral:lncRNA from 1 species
GUCAGGCAGCUGUAGUGUUGUUUUAGAACAUAGCAACACUCUCUUCUAUAACAGACAGAAUGGUUGCUUUUUGUUGCCGUUGCUGGCAUAGAAGGUCGAGAAUUUAUCUUUGGUAUCAUACAGACAGCGAGGUUGAAUGGUACGAUUCAAAUCCCAAAAGCAACGACACCAUUUAAUUACAUAUAACUAACGCUUCGCCUAACCAUAACAGGAUUCCUCUUCAAAUAACGUACUCCAAUAUAGAUACAUACCACGACAUACCACCUGAUCAGAGUAAAACUGUAAAUAUAAAUCACAGUAUACAAAAAUCUGGUACUUUCCACGGAAAAAGGGGUAUACUUAUAACAUCGGAUUUUGAUGUAUCAGUUCUAGUUACAUGCGUAAAAAAGUUGUCAUUGAAUGUCACCGCUGUCGAAUCUUAUAAUGCGUUCCCGACAAGAAGCGCGGGGAGGCGCUACUUAAUUUUUCCGUGGACACAACGGCAGAAUAGUCAUUGGCCAGUGUCAAGUACUGUCUUAGUAACGAGUAACGUUGACAAUAAUCUUGUUAGAUUUUGUAAGACCUCAACCGGUCUCUUAAACGCCACAAUAAUUGACAGGCUUGAUGUUUAUCAGUAUCACAGCUCCGACAACUACAAUGGCGGCACUGGCAUCCUUAUUGAAGCUGAAGGUGAUAUUACGGUAGUAGCUGAGUAGAAGGAGAUCGAUACUUCACAUGGGUGGCUUCAACCGUUUCCGGGAUUCCAAUCAAGUAUUGGGCAAACAGAUAUAUAGUGCCCCAAACGAGACAUGCUGGCACGGCUUCGUUAAUGAUACGGUCAGAGAGUCUUUUUACCCGAGUAAAUAUAAGUGCAAAUACUCACUCAUCACAGUCUAUGAUAAAAAACCAAUCAUUCGUAAAUACAUCUGUGGUUCUAACAGCUGAUGAAACAUUCACUAUUUCGCAAAACAAUUUCCAUGUCAACAAUACAAUGUAUCAAAAUGAUGAUUUUAUAGUUCUGGUGCCGGGAGUUGAUCAGUACAUCAAUGACUACCGCUUCACCGUUCCACAUCUACACUCUAAUUUAACGAAGCUGCUUAUGAAGAAUUACAUAGCAGUUAUUAUUCCAACAACGUUCAAAGACAACUUGCUCAUAGAUGGCGUGCCUGUGCCUGAGACUCGAGAACGAAAAGACAGUUUUCCGUCCCGUCACCGUUUAGUAAUUUCACCGUUUUGUCAUUUGAAAUUAGUGAAGGUAAUCACAGAGUUCGUCACCGUUUGUCACAUGUGAAGUUUGGACUGCUUGUUUAUGGCUUAGGAACAGUAAAUCAUUACUGGUAUAGCGGUAUAGAAGAAUACAUCUACAGUUACGGAUUCUAUGCUGGUUUCAAUUUACAAGGCGGCCAAUGUGAGUACCCUGGUACUGAACCAACAACACAUUCAGUACCCCAUGUCUUUACAGGCUCAACCGGUACAAAAGGUCCCGAUCAAAACAACGUUACAAUGUGCUACAUUUGUGAAGAUCUUGAACGGAUUGACCUUUGCGACACUGUCAAAGCAUGCCAUGUAAAAGAGGUGUGCUUUGUGGAAAGACAGAACAAAUCAGGACGUAUCGUUUACAGAUCUGGAUGUUUAGUUGCCGAUGUAUGAAUAAAAGCAAAAACUAUACAUUUUUCAAAUAUUUUGUUUGAAUCAGUCUCUUUAUUUGUGUUCUAAACAGACGUAGAUAAAAGAGCUGGGUCUGGAUUUUAAUGAGAUAAUAAUAUAAAAAAUGAAGUCAAGAAAACUAUUUAAAAUACUAAAAUAUAAUCUAGUCUUUAUUUAUACUUUGGAAAAUAAAAGUGAGAUGGUUCAAACUCAUAAGAGGAAUUUAAAAAAAAGAAGCAACAAAUACAGCAACAACAACUGGCUGUUCCAUAGCAGUCCUCACUGUGUUGAUAACAUUCUCUGUGUUUUUAUCGUGUCCGGUAUGUUUCAACUCGUCUGUGUAUAUUCGUGAACAUUUAUGUAUGUACUAAUUCAUUAAUGACAUACACUACAAGUUUAGGCUUUCUUGAAAGUGCUGGUUUUGAAACGUGACGUUUCCUUUUGGAUUGUUUCUUUAUGUUUAAGGUAUGUGCAAGCGGGCACCAAGAGUCACUGUCUAAGGACAACUUCUGUGUUGAAUGCUGCAGUGGCAGCUUCUGUAACAACAAAGGGUGUGGAAGUACAGGGAUCCCAAGCCGUGACCACAGAGGUCCAGUAUGCUACGAUUGUCAACACGUGUCGUCACCUGAACUAUGUACCUCUGUGAUGUUGUGUUCACAGC